GACGUAGGGGGCCAGCGUUGUUCGGAAUUACUGGGUGUAAAGGGUUCGUAGGCGGUGUGGCAAGUCGGGAGUGAAAUCUCUGGGCUCAACCCAGAGUCUGCUUCCGAAACUGCUGUGCUUGAGUGUGGGAGAGGCGCGUGGAAUUCCAGGUGUAGCGGUGAAAUGCGUAGAUAUCUGGAGGAACACCGGUGGCGAAGGCGGCGUCCUGGACCAACACUGACACUGAUGAGCGAAAGCCAGGGGAGCAAACGGG
rnacentral:rRNA from 1 species